rnacentral:lncRNA from 1 species
ACAAAACUGGCUGUAAAUAUCAUCAACUCUUUAAAUCACACAACUUUCAAGAGAAACUGGAACCAGUGAUGGAAAACUGAUAAUGAUUAACAAUGUCUUAAGACAUCAUACUAAACUCUGGUAGAGUACAAGAUAAAAUAUAAAAGGUACUGCAUACAAAAUCACAUAUCCCCAAAAUUGGAAUUACAGCAAAAGAGAAGAAAAUGAAACUAGUCUGAAAAUUCUGGUUGCAACAGUUAAGCAGUACCACCAGCUCCAGCCUUGCCUUUCUUCUUCUGUAGUUUCUUCAUGUAGAACUCAAGCUCUUUUCCCUCCAAAAUGUACCUAUGGAAAUUUCAAUUAAAAUACAUAUUAGCAAAUUAAAAAUCCUGAAGCUAUUUUCAUGACACGGGAAGGAAUGUACUGAGCUUUAAGCUUACCCAUCUGCUCUGCCACAUUGACCAGGGCGAGAAGAGAUACAGGCCAACAGCCUACCACCACCAAAUUGCUCUUCAAUAUGAGGAUCAAGUUUACGAUCCUUCUGGCGUGUCUCAAUCUUCCUGAGAACAUGGUUGCUCUUCUUAGUUUCCUCUGCAGCGGCAGCAGCACCUUCUCCUUCUUCAGUAGUUUCCUUCUUAGCAGGGCCCUUCUUCUUCCUACCAAUGUCAACACCAUAAUGCUGGAGGUACCAUUGUUUAAAUGGCGCAGCAUCAACUUGAACAAUAGCACUCUUGACCAGAGUUUGAGUGCGAACAAGUUCAUUGUUUGAUGCAUUGUAAACCACAUCAAGGAUACGAGUCUUGCGUGUGACUGCCUCACUACCCCAUGAAUAAUUUCCUGUAUCCAAUCUUAGUGCCCUCCACUUCACAUUGCCACCACGCACACUGUGCGAACAAGUUCAUUGUUUGAGGCAUUGUAAACCACAUCAAGGAUACGAGUCUUGCGUGUGACUGCCUCACUACCCCAUGAGUAAUUUCCGGUAUCCAAUCUCAGUGCCCUCCACUUCACAUUGCCACCACGCACACGAAUUCGUCGGACUGUCUUGUUAGCCGAGAUCUUAGUAUUAGCAGGCUGGCGGCCAAGUUCAUACCUUCAAUAAAUUGAAAUUGAUCAGAAUUCAGAGUCAGGAAUGCAGCCAAAAAACAGUGAUUUACAUUACAGUUUCUCUUAUCAUAUUGUAAUGAUAAAAGAUCAUUCUAACAAAACGUUCUGCAGGCAAAGGGGAAGAUGACUUUACUAUCAUUUAGCUAAGGACUAUAUGCUCAUAUUUUGCCAUGUUGGUUUAUUCAAUUGCGUUAAUUCCAUUCCACUAGAUCAAAUAAAUUGAAACAUCCUGGAAUAAAUCUUUAAUUAUACUAGGUAGAUUUGUAGUCUCUCUGAACCUACUUAGAGUCGAUCAAAUAAUAAUAAAAAAACCAGUAUAGUCCCAACACAAGUGGGGUCUGGGGAGGGUAGAGGGUACAUUGAGUAACCUUACCCUGCC